GGCCAGAUGAUGGAAUUGGCAGACAUGCACGACUCAAAAUCGUGUGCCGAAAGGCAUGAGGGUUCGACUCCCUCUCUGGCCA
rnacentral:tRNA from 1 species